GAUUCAGGCAGGAUCGUCCCUCAGCUGUUGUAAUUCUGAUGUGUUUUGCUAUGACAGCAGCUACUGUCUAACAUGCGUGGAUCUUCUGAAAUUUGUAGUGGACUAAGGACUGCUUUUACUUGCUGCUGAGCCUGACUGUAACUGUAUCGCUGUAGGACAAUAACGAUGGGGGCUCGAGCGACAGAAACAACUCGGGAACUGGAAAGCGCCUCUGUACAGUACCAAAUAGGAGGACAUGCAGAGAAAAUGUGGCAACGACUCAAAGGAAUAUUAAGAUGCUUGGUAAAGCAGCUGGAGAAGGGUGACAUUAAUGUGGUGGACUUAAAAAAGAAUAUUGAAUAUGCAGCAUCUGUGCUGGAGGCAGUUUAUAUUGAUGAAACCAGGAAGCUUUUGGACACUGAAGAUGAACUCUCGGACAUCCAGUCGGAUUCGGUCCCGCUGGAAGUGCGGGACUGGUUAGCUUCUACAUUCACGAGAGAAAUGGGAAUAGUGAAGAGGAGACCCGAGGAAAAGCCCAAAUUCCGAAGCAUUGUGCAUGCUGUACAGGCUGGGAUUUUUGUAGAAAGGAUGUACCGGAAAACUUCAAGCAUGGUUGGUUUGGCUUAUCCAGCAGAAGUGAUAGUCACAUUUAAGGAUGUUGAUAAGUGGUCUUUUGACGUGUUUGCCCUUAAUGAAGCAAGUGGAGAGCACAGUCUGAAAUUCAUGAUGUAUGAGCUGUUAACCCGAUACGACCUUCUGAGCCGCUUCAAGAUCCCUGUUCCAAAUCUUAUUUCUUUUGCUGAAGCUCUUGAAGUUGGGUACAGCAAAUACAAAAAUCCCUAUCACAAUUUGAUCCAUGCAGCUGAUGUUACUCAAACUGUGCAUUACAUAAUGAUUCACACUGGCAUCAUGCACUGGCUCACAGAACUGGAAAUUUUAGCAAUGAUCUUUGCAGCUGCCGUCCAUGACUAUGAACACACUGGGACCACAAACAAUUUUCAUAUUCAGACAAGGUCAGAUGUUGCUAUAUUGUACAACGAUCGUUCUGUUCUUGAAAAUCAUCAUGUAAGUGCUGCUUACAGGCUCAUGCAGGAAGAAGAGAUGAACAUCCUGGCUAAUCUAAACAAAGAUGACUGGAGGGAGUUGCGUGGCUUGGUCAUUGAGAUGGUCUUGUCUACAGACAUGUCGGGUCACUUCCAGCAAAUCAAAACAAUGCGGCACACUCUGCAGCAGGCACAGGGGGUAGACAAAGCCAAAGCCAUGUCUUUGAUUCUACAUGCAGCAGACAUAAGCCAUCCAGCAAAAUCCUGGGAGCUGCACUACCGGUGGACCAUGGCCCUGAUGGAAGAAUUUUUUCGACAGGGAGACAAGGAGGCUGCUUUAGGUCUUCAGUUUUCCCCACUUUGUGACCGCAAGUCCACUUUGGUAGCUCAGUCUCAAAUAGGUUUCAUUGAUUUCAUAGUAGAACCAACAUUUUCUCUUCUUACUGAUUCCAUGGAGAAAAUUGUUAUGCCUCUUAUAGAGGAAGCGACAAAAUCUGAAAGUCCUGCAUUUGGGACCCCCAGCCAAAAUAGUUUGGGAGCAGUAAGCAAUGCUGAAGCACAAAGACGACCUGGGUUUAAAAGCACAGGUGAUGGAGGGACUCACAUAGAAAAUUCUCUAGCAACUGUAGACCUGAGGGGCUUCAAGGACAACUUGAUGAAGAUCAUUCAAGCAAACAAAGAAAGAUGGAAAGAAUUAGCAGCAGAAGAAGAACUUGUGAAAAAUGUUGGUGAACAGGAAAAAGACCAAAGCAGAAAUUCCACAGAUGCAGAGUUACAGGAAGAGGCAACAAGGACACAAAAUGAGAGUAGUCAGGGGAGUGGUGGUACAACCUGUCCUCCCAGAUCCAUCGUCCUACAAGUAGUCUGUUUGGACACUCCUCUGAGUGAUGAAUCCAGCUCAGAAAAAUGCACUAACUCUGAUCCGAACCAGAAAGAGCUCAGCGAUGCCCAGCAAGAGACCCAGAAUACAGCCCCACUGAAUGGUGAGCCUAAACACUGUAAGAAGUCAGAAGAUAUUGUAAAAGCCACGGAGCAGACGGAAGCACUGGUACAGAACUAGAUUUGCUAUUUCUUAUAAGCUUCUGACGUUUCAGGCAGGACAGGAGAAAAGAACUCUAGCUGUUCCUACCUCAUGAUCUCAGAGGCUGUUAUCUGUCAACUUGUUCUUGGAUCAUCCUAUUUCUGUGGAGAGUGAUUGAACAAAAUGUUCAAAAAUGUAAAAUGUAAAAUCCUGAGCUGGUAACUCAAGGCACUUAAAAAUUCGCAAGAUUUCAGUUGUUUUUGUGUUGCUAUUUCCUCUUCUAUUCUGCUUUCUUAAACUAGCCAAAAUAAUCUUUUCAGCCAAAGUUGGACCUUGCUUUGUUGCAUCACUGGUACCAGACAUUUCCAGUUAAUCAUGAGACGUGUGAAAACAUGAUGUUUGUCAUCUGCCUGGGAUUGCUGUUACGUGUCACUGCUGCUGCUGUCCAAUGCAAAUGGAAAAUCUAAAAGAAAUGUGUUUCUAGAUACUUGUUCAUGCAAUCAUGCUGCAUGCACCAUAAAAGUCCUAGUUGUUAGCUUCCUUAAAAUAUCUGGAAAUAAAUGUUUAUAGACUGUACAGGGAAGUUGCAAAGUUACGCUGACCAGCCUGCACGAAUGAAGACUCUUCCCCACUGCAGUGGCUGCCAUAUGGACAGAACUGGUGUGGAACAAAUUUGAAAAUAUUUGAAAUAUCUUUUAAAAAUUAAUUGAAUAGCAUCUGGCAUUAAAGAUUAAAACAUUCUGAAUCCUGUAAUAUUUUGAAAGACAACAGCACUGGUGUCAGCCCUUCCGUGAAGCUGGUGCUUAUUGUUUUGUUGGGUGGAAGAGACAGCAACAGAAAUACAUGAAAAUUGCUUCACUACAGCAAAAUGUUGUGUUGCCUCUCAGACAGAAUUGGAAGGUGACACAGAGGCCUUGUGUCAUGGUUUAUCUCAAAUGCAAAGGUGACAACAUGCAUCCAGCAACAUCUUUCCUAGAGUUUGUUUCUUUUCGGGGGGCAGCAAAAACAGCAGCACACAGGCAGUUACCUCUGCAAGAAGCCUCAGAAUGAGCCCUCCAGCCCAAACUGUGCCCAUAAAGAAACUCCAUUUUCAUCUCUUCUUCCCUCGAGCUGCACAUGACCCCUCUUGAUUUGUCUGGGUGUCUUACACAGCUGCAGCCAACCUCAUUUCCCUCUGCUGGAACCUGCCAGGAAACUCUAGGCUCCCGUUCAGGCUGUAGGCACUCAGGUGGCUCCCGACGCUGCGCUCCCUGCUCUCUUUUUGGGACCCUGUGGUUAUUACCUCACUGAACAAAAAGUCUUUCUAAUCAGCCAUGGUCUGCUCUGAAGGGGACUCGUGGGGGCAGUGCCACUCUCCUCUGUGCCAGGGACAACUGGGACCCGUGUGCUGUUCAUGUGCUGCUUCAGGGAUCCAACCAGAGCUCAGCAGGCAUCAGGCUCCACCUCAACAAGGGCAGGCUUUGUCUGAGUGAAGAAGGAGUCAUGAAACAAUCCCCUUUGCUGACCCUUACAUGUCCAUCCCUGUUGACUGUCUCUUUUCUGACAGCAGAGCAGUCAAAGUUGAGCUGGGAACAGUGUAAGCUCUGAGCCCUGGGACAGGGCCAUGCCAAAAGGUGGAAUUCCUGUCAUUGAAUAUUUCCUCUUUUCCAGGUGCCAUCUGAGCUACAUGCACAAAGGACCUUCUUCUUGUAGAGAUGCCAGAAGUCAAACAAGCCACUACUGUAAUGAAAAUACUUUCAAAUUAACAAAUCAGGAUCACUAGUGGUAAGUGUCUAAAAUGUGUAUUUUUAACAGACUAUACAGUUAUUGUGUGAGAAAGAGGAAAAUGUAAGUAUGACUAGGAUUCUCCAGCAGCAGAUUAGAGAUUUCUGUGUACAGUAGUUUGGCAGAAAAAGGUUUGUCUGAAAGGGGAGUACAUCCCUUUAAAAGCAUUUUUUAAAAAAUCACAUCCUUGAGAAACAGUAUGGAAAAAUGAGUGAAAUUGAAUUUAAUGCUAUGAGUAAAAGAAAUUGUCCUCUGUCAAACACUAUGCAAACAUUUAGGCUACUUCCCUGGAAUAAUUUUACUUUCCUGGUCAUUUAAGUAUUUCAUGGGUCUCCAGAGAGAUCUUUUCCAUGUCCCAGGGCAAACAUUCAGAAGUUUUAUCAAACUGUGAAUAUCUAAGUUUUCCCCUGGGAACAAAGAAGAAAGUUAUAACCAUGGAGUUAUAAAUGGAAAAAAUCUCUUCUAAAAAAUGGGAAUAAGUCUCUUAUAAAACUUUUGGGAUGAACUUUGCUGCAAAAUACUUUCUUAGUGCCUAGGCCAGUGCUUUGCUUGUGGCCUGUGAGGGGAGAAUUGUUGGGGAACUUUACAUUAGCUGAACUUGGACAGAUAAUAUCUUAACAAAAUCAGCUACUCAGAGAUUACAGAGUAUAUGACCUUUAAAGCUGUUGAGUUUUAUGCAUUUGCAACAUCCUGUACAGGUCAUUAUUACAAACCAGACAUACGAGGUUGUAGCAAAUAAGGGGGUAAAAAUCAAAAUGGUAGGUGCAAUCUUGACUUUAAGAUGGAGCAGUGAAGCAGAACAGAAGUUUCCUCACUUUUAUUUGGACUGUAGUUUUAAAGCUUUCUCAUCACCACAUAGGACCUCAUGCUGAUGCACCAGAAGCAGCACUCCUGAACCUGCAAGGAAGACUGUGGGUAUCAUAAUGCCAUGAAUAAAGAUCAAGUUACAUGAAAGUAUUGGCUAAUUAUUUGAAUAAAGCCUGAUAUUAUUAUCUCAAUCAAGAUUCAAUGAGCCAAAGGGUCAAAUUCACCUAUGAUGCAUUUCCAUGAAAGCCAAGAGAGAUGGUGUCGUUAUACCAGAAAUUAAUUUGUUAAUUGGAUAGUAAUGGGUUGUCUCUGGCUUUCUCUGUAUUCAGCUGGCUUACAGAUUUUGUUUUCUGUGGUGCAGGGUACUCUGUACAAAUCAUGUGUUUAACUUUAGGCCAUCUUGAAUUCUUUUAUUGAAAUUGUGCUUCCUUAUCUUUGAGACUGCUCGACUUUGAGAGAGAACUGUGUUUUUCUCACUUGUCAGAUAUGAACGUUCAGCUUUAUUGUCUGGGGUUCAGCAGAAGUUCACAACUGGAAAUAAUGGCAGCAUAUUUGGGUCAAACAUUUUAAUACAUGAUGCAUCUUUAUUUUAGUGUUCCCACCUGGGGAAGACUCCUAAUCUGCUAGGCACAAGGUGGUUUGGGGUAGGGCAGAGCUGUGACUGCAGCCAAAGUAGCUCUGGAGGACAUGUGUGUGGUUUCAAGUAAACAGCAGAUACAGGACCAUGACUACAGAGUUGAUAUUUCCAGCAAAUUAGAGAAUAAAAAUGUCACAAGCAAUUUAAAUAUUAUUUAUAGUUGACCUUCAUGUCUGUUUUUAAUAUUCAAUCUGCUGAGUGUUUAAAAAAGCAAUUAAAAGUCCCAUAUAAUGUUAAAACCCUUGAUAAAUGUAAUAAACAAAUGACAUAUUCAAAAGAGAGAAUCUAUGUCCCA